UACGAAGGGGGCUAGCGUUGCUCGGAAUUACUGGGCGUAAAGCGCGCGUAGGCGGUUACUCAAGUCAGAGGUGAAAGCCCGGGGCUCAACCCCGGAACUGCCUUUGAAACUAGGUGACUAGAAUCUUGGAGAGGUCAGUGGAAUUCCGAGUGUAGAGGUGAAAUUCGUAGAUAUUCGGAAGAACACCAGUGGCGAAGGCGACUGACUGGACAAGUAUUGACGCUGAGGUGCGAAAGCGUGGGGAGCAAACAGG
rnacentral:rRNA from 1 species